rnacentral:rRNA from 1 species
GACAGAGGGUGCAAACGUUGUUCGGAAUUACUGGGCGUAAAGCGUGUGUAGGCGGCCGCGUAAGUCGGAUGUGAAAGCCCUGGGCUCAACCCAGGAAGUGCACUCGAUACUGCGUGGCUCGAGUACUGGAGAGGUUGGUGGAAUUCUCGGUGUAGAGGUGAAAUUCGUAGAUAUCGAGAGGAACACCGGUGGCGAAGGCGGCGCUCUGGGCCGGAACUGACGCUGAGGAGCGAAAGCGUGGGUAGCAAACAGG